rnacentral:lncRNA from 1 species
AUGGGGUACAUUUUGCUAAGAAUGGGAGACCAUAUUGGCACAUGGAUGUGAAGAGUGCAACUGCAAGACUGAGGAGGAGUUUAUGUAUCUUUCCUUUCCUGCAACAAUUAAAGGUAGGCAUCACCUUAGUAAUCAAGUAAUUUUUUUAUGUGUUGGCAUUUUGGCGUUUCUUUAUUAUAGAGCAUGAAUCCAGGAUACCCUUUGGGGUGUAAUUCUAUUAUAUACCCUCAAGUUAGGGUGCAUCCUGGAUCUCUUGUCUGUUACUGUUGGAUAUAAUAAAAUAAAUAGACGUUACUUAUUUUGUUCAAAUCCUAUGGUUAUGCACCCUACAUUAAUGGGUGCGUUGUAGAAUUCCUCACAGUUUGGGGUCAUGCUGCAACUUUAGUUCAUUGGAUGCUAUCAUUUAUUGAUUUUGAUAUUUUUUUCUAUAUUUUUGGCCUUAGCAGCUGAACACACAUCUUGAUAACCUCAUUUGGCAACUACUUGCCACAUGUUUUCAUUGGACAAUGCAUUUGUGGUCAGUAUAGAACAUUAAAUCAUGAUAUUUUUUCCUUUGACUCUUAUGUGUUUUUAAAAGUUAAGGAUGUGUAAUAUGUUGAGGCGAGGGUUGGAUAUCAUUGCUUACUGAUUGAUGAGAUUGUAGAGUCUGAGGAUCUUGUGUAGCACAUGAUUGUAAAGGCUUCCCAAUACCCCGCCUAUGAUACCAAUGACUACAACGAUGACAAUAUCCAUAACAUGGUACCUCACGGUGACAUUGCUUACAUCAAACAUAAUCAGACCUCCUUCACCAAAAAGGCCACAUUUUCCAGAAUGGCAGAUUUCAAUGAAGGCCCUGAGAACCACCACCACCACAGCUGUGCUAAAAAAGGUUCUCCACAGUAGAGCACUUCUCCACCAGGUUGCCACCUCUUCAAGAGCAAAGAGAACUCCACCCACUGGAGCCCGGAAAGCUGC